UGGAGGGCAAGCACGAGGCCGCGUCGCUUUGAUUUUGCGGCGAUAGAGAUGGAUACGAUUCAUACGAAUGUACGGAUUUGUUUAUGUUCUGCGUACUCUGGCAGCUAGCACACUAGCACGCCUGUUAUUGGCCUCGUUGCCUCAAUUGCAGGCAUAGUGUGUAUAUUUAGAGGUAUUACGGGGGUGUUUGGGAGGCAUGUGCUAAAUUUUAGCACAUGUCACAUCGGAUGUUUAGACACUAAUUAGGAGUAUUAAACAUAGCCUAAUUACAAAACUAAUUGCACAACCCCUAGGCUAAAUCGCGAGACGAAUCUAUUAAGCCUAAUUAGUCCAUGAUUUGACAAUGUGGUGCUACAGUAACCAUUCGCUACUGAUGGAUUAAUUAGGCUUAAUAGAUUCGUCUCGCGAUUUAGCCUAGGGGUUGUGCAAUUAGUUUUAUAAUUAGACUAUGUUUAAUACUCCUAAUUAGUGUCCAAACAUUCGAUGUGACAGGUGCUAAAAUUUAGCACAUGCUAUCCAAACACCCCUACA
rnacentral:lncRNA from 1 species